rnacentral:rRNA from 1 species
GGUGAACGCUGGCGGUAGGCCUAACACAUGCAAGUCGAACGGCAGCACAGUAAGAGCUUGCUCUUACGGGUGGCGAGUGGCGGACGGGUGAGGAAUACAUCGGAAUCUACUUUUUCGUGGGGGAUAACGUAGGGAAACUUACGCUAAUACCGCAUACGACCUACGGGUGAAAGCAGGGGAUCUUCGGACCUUGCGCGAUUGAAUGAGCCGAUGUCGGAUUAGCUAGUUGGCGGGGUAAAGGCCCACCAAGGCGACGAUCCGUAGCUGGUCUGAGAGGAUGAUCAGCCACACUGGAACCGAGACACGGUCCAGACUCCUACGGGAGGCAGCAGUGGGGAAUAUUGGACAAUGGGCGCAAGCCUGAUCCAGCCAUACCGCGUGGGUGAAGAAGGCCUUCGGGUUGUAAAGCCCUUUUGUUGGGAAAGAAAAGCAGCAGGUUAAUACCCCGCUGUUCUGACGGUACCCAAAGAAUAAGCACCGGCUAACUUCGUG